rnacentral:rRNA from 1 species
GAUGAACGCUGGCGGCGUGCCUAAUACAUGCAAGUCGAGCGAACAGAUAAGGAGCUUGCUCCUUUGACGUUAGCGGCGGACGGGUGAGUAACACGUGGGUAACCUACCUAUAAGACUGGGAUAACUUCGGGAAACCGGAGCUAAUACCGGAUAAUAUUUCGAACCGCAUGGUUCGAUAGUGAAAGAUGGUUUUGCUAUCACUUAUAGAUGGACCCGCGCCGUAUUAGCUAGUUGGUAAGGUAACGGCUUACCAAGGCGACGAUACGUAGCCGACCUGAGAGGGUGAUCGGCCACACUGGAACUGAGAUACGGUCCAGACUCCUACGGGAGGCAGCAGUAGGGAAUCUUCCGCAAUGGGCGAAAGCCUGACGGAGCAACGCCGCGUGAGUGAUGAAGGUCUUCGGAUCGUAAAACUCUGUUAUUAGGGAAGAACAUACGUGUAAGUAACUGUGCACGUCUUGACGGUACCUAAUCAGAAAGCCACGGCUAACUACGUG